ACCGUGACCAGCAUAUUUGGCAACAAGGCGUCCGGUUGUUUUGGUUUUUGUCGUUCUGAUUGGAGUAAAAUUCAGUAGAAUUGUAACGUUCUUUUUUAACAAAACUCUAGAAAUCGCGGAAAACUUUUAUUCAUACUGCGUUGCGUAGUGAAAUUUGGUGGCAGCAGCCUGCAACUAGCUGAAAAUCAUGAACUUUCCUCGCCACACAGGAAAUCUUUUAAACGUCAUGGACCAACAAACUUCAUGGACCAGAGUUGAUCUGCGAUAACGCACACAUAUAUGAAUUUUGACAGCAUCCGUGUUUCACGCAGAUUUUGAAGUAGAAUACUUCUCUCAGGAAGUUCGGCUACAUAGGGAUGUAAAAUGAAAAUCUAAAACCGAAAAAAGUGAAAAAUGUGUCCAAUUUCAAAUGCUAAUAAAUCGGUUAGUAUUCGAUGGAUUUCCUUCGUUCUUGCAGCAAUAGAUUGUAAAAUCUUCUAAGAUUUUUCCCGAAUGAAGAUAAUUGUAGUUUUAUUAAUCAAACUAUUGUACUAUUGAAAUUAAUCAAGCCUUGUCAAAACGAAAAAUUCGACCUCUGAUUGGUCGUAAUAUGAUUGCUUCCCAAGCACGGUCGACAGAAUCAUAUACCUUGCAACAGUAAAUGCAUUCAAUGAAAAGUUGACUCAUUUUGACAACACAAUGAAAUAAAAACCUGAUGAUUGAAGAGUUAAUAUUUACUCUUGAGUUAAUUUACAUUUUUAAAUUUGUAAAAGUUAUAAAUUUUACCUAAUCUCCGUGUCUCAGAACGUACUUAAUUAUCUUUUCCUUCAGUCAUGAGCACGAUAUCCAAAAAAUUUUCAUUAUCUGCAUAAAAAUUGUCAAGCCCCAAUCAUGACAAGCAACUUACUAUAUUAUUGAAAAUGGUCAAUCCUUGUUGAAGCGCAAAAUUCGAUUGAUCUGAUAAGUCAGCGUUUAUUUACUAGAGAAAAUGGCUGACACGCAAGCAGCCGGGUUAUCAUUUCCGUAAAAGUAUUCUACUUCAACCUUGCGGUCGUGGAUUUGCACACAACCCCCCUGUGAUUUUUAUGAGGUUUUUCAAGGGGGUUUCGAAUUCACGCGAUUCUUUACAGGGAUUACGUUUUUUAACGCGUUAAUAGAAAAAAAAGUUGAAGAGGUUGUUUAUAAGACACGACCGCAAAGUUAACGUAGAAUACGACAGCCUGUCUUAUGUCACUGUAUCUCUUGGAAUAGGUUUGGAAAUACACUCAA